CCUACGGGAGGCAGCAGUGGGGAAUUUUGGACAAUGGGCGCAAGCCUGAUCCAGCCAUGCCGCGUGUGGGAAGAAGGCCUUCGGGUUGUAAACCACUUUUGUCAGGGAAGAAACGGCUUUUUCUAAUACAGAGAGCUAAUGACGGUACCUGAAGAAUAAGCACCGGCUAACUACGUGCCAGCAGCCGCGGUAAUACGUAGGGUGCAAGCGUUAAUCGGAAUUACUGGGCGUAAAGCGUGCGCAGGCGGCUUUGCAAGACAGAUGUGAAAUCCCCGGGCUCAACCUGGGAACUGCAUUUGUGACUGCAUGGCUAGAGUACGGUAGAGGGGGAUGGAAUUCCGCGUGUAGCAGUGAAAUGCGUAGAUAUGCGGAGGAACACCGAUGGCGAAGGCAAUCCCCUGGACCUGUACUGACGCUCAUGCACGAAAGCGUGGGGAGCAAACAGGAUUAGGAUACCCUGGUAGUCCACGGCCCUAAACGAUGUCGAACUGGUUNUUGGUACGGCUUGCUGUUCAGUACGAGCAACGCGUGAAGUUGCCGCGUGGUGUAGCGNGAGUUAGAGAGAGAGUUGNGNGNGNGNGNGCGAGNGNGNGAGGAG
rnacentral:rRNA from 1 species